GGCCAUGUCACAGCCUCGUGCGUCCGAACACCUGCAGCCCGAACUUUUCUCGUCUCGUCUCUCGUCCUUUCACAUUCUAAUCUAAGGAUCGAGUCGUGGCUAACAACAUCACUGAACAUUGAAUCCACAGAUCCAGGUAAUGAAUUUCCUCCAUUAAUCCUGAACUCGUGUACAUCAACCGCUAGAUUUACAUUGUGUUUCAUCUUCUAGCUUAGUUGGUUACAGAAUCAAACUAAGUUGGGUCAUUAACAUGGUUAAGUUGUUUACUGAAUCUAACUAUGUUGGCUUUUCAACCUAUAAUUGUAGGUUUAUAUAUGUGUUCAUCUUCUAGCUUAGUUGGUUUUGCGAAUGUAACUAAGUUGGCUUCUGAACACUCAGUUUGUAAGUUGGUCACUGAAUCCAACUAAGUUAGUCUAUGGGUGAAACUCACAAUCAGGUUCCAUCUGGGAUAAACUUCCUUUAUUUUGCUAACAUAUGUGAUGAAAUUCCUGGAAAUAUUCAUAGGCACAUGAUCAAACUUUGUUCCUAGGUAACUAUUAUCAACAAACGCUGCAAAGCCAGGAGCACCAAGACUCCUGGCCUUUUGAGACAUUUUCUCGACUGAAGCUUUCCCAUCAAUAUAAUUAUAAGAAUAGGCACACAUGAGAAUUUUGCCGUGAACCUUCCUAUUAUUUAGGAGUUCUAGUGUUUGACAAUCUAGUGCACUGUACUUGGUUGCAGAUGAACUUAGCAGAGCAUCAGUAGCAUAAAUAAGGCUGAACGAUUUAUUUACUUCUGUUGCAGCUGUAGUCAGAUGACAGUUCUCUAGAAUAGUAGUUUUCUCACAAUGAAUUGAAAUAUCUCCCUUUUUCAUUGCUAAUGUGCGGUUAAGUUGGUUUUAAAUCUGGCUUAAGUUGGCUUCUGAACAUGGCUAAGUUUGGUUACUUAAUCUAAAUAAGUUUGCUAGUCAACAUUUUAACUUAAAGGUCAUUCUUUGUGUCUCAUCUUUUUGGAUAGUUGAUUUUCAAAUUUAGUCAAGUUGGCUUCUGAGCACCGCUAAGUUUUCUUAAUUAAUCCAACUAAGUUGGCUUCCAACAUUUUAACUUGAGUUCAUUCUUUGUAUCUCAUCUUCUAGGAUAGUUAGUUUUUAAAUUUAGUCAAGUUGGCUUCUGACCACGGCCAAGUUUGGUUACUUAAUUUAACUAAGUUGGCAGUCAAUAUUUUAACUUGAGGUCAUUCUUUGUAUGUCGUUUUCUGGGAUAGUUUGUUUUUAAAUUUAGUCAAGUUAGUUUUUGAGCACACAGAUAAGUUUGGUUACUUAAUUUAGCUAAGUUGCCAGACAACAUUUAACUUGAGGUUAUUCUUUGUGUCUCAUCUUCUAGAAUAUUUAGCUUCUAAAUUUAAUUAAAUUGUCUUCUAAAUAUGGCUAAGUUUGCUUGCUUAAUCAACCUAAGUUGAUUUGUUAACAUUUUAGCUUGGGGUUUAUUUUUGUGUUUUUUAGGAUAGUUGGUUUUUAAUUUAAUCAAGUUGGCUUCUAAAUGCGGCUAAAUUUGCUUACUUAAUACCUAAGUUGGCUAGUCAAUAUUUUACAUGAGGUUUAUUCUUUAUGUCUUGUCUUUCUAGGAUAAUUGGUUAUUCUUUUGUGUUCUUUUUUCCUAUCUUCGUUCUUUUUGAUCUGGGGAAGUUGCAAGCUUCAAUUUUGUUGGGUAUAGGUGUUUCUUUUGAGCAACAUGCAUAAGUUGUCUAGCGAUUUAGUUAAGUUGUUUUAUAACUAUGUUUAAGUUGAGUAUUUUUUUAGUUUCAUUGUCAACAUGCUUAAGUUGAAACGAAAAUUAAUUAAGUUGUUCUUCCAGCAUGCUUAAGUUGUGUGGGUAUCUACAAUCUACUUUGGUUUUGGUUUCCGAGCAACAUGCAUAAGUUGGUCAUUGGUCUAAUUAAGUUGCCUUCUCAACAUGCUUAAGGUGCUUAUUUGUGAUAUUGUUAAGUUGUACCGGGGAGCGGUGGAUCUUGGGUGGGGUAGCUAGUACCAUCUCCAGCGCGGUAGUGGAGGAGGCCAUGGCGCCUAGCUCGAGCACGUGGCGGCGCCCAUGAUGCCUAGCAUGAGCGCAAGCCCGUCUUGGUUGCUGGCCAGCGAGAUCAUGUGUUGUUUUGUGAUCUACUCGCAGUUUUCAGUCAAAUCCAGAUUUCAUGGAGUUCUCGAGGAGGAAGAAGACCUGGAGUAGUUCGUCUUGCAGAAAGGAAGAAGCCCUGAAGUAGUCCGUCUUGCAGAAAGGAAGAAGAGCCAGAGUAGUUCGCCAAGCGCAUCUCACACGCUACUGUCUGUUGUUCCUUUUACCUUGUGUAACCUCCCUUUUCCUUGGUUGGAUGUUUAAUUAGACAAACCAGCAC